AGAGUUUGAUCCUGGCUCAGGAUGAACGCUGGCGGCGUGCCUAAUACAUGCAAGUCGAACGAGGCCCUUUGUAUUCGUACGAAGGUGUCCUAGUGGCGAACGGGUGAGUAACACGUUGGUGACCUACCCCGAAGCGGGGGACAACUCCGGGAAACUGGAGCUAAUACCCCAUGUGAUCCAUGAAGUUAGAGGUUUAUGGAUGAAAGGAGCAAUCCGCUUUGGGACGGGCCUGCGGCCCAUCAGCUAGUUGGUAGGGUAACGGCCUACCAAGGCGACGACGGGUAGGGGGCCUGAGAGGGUGGUCCCCCACAAUGGAACUGAGACACGGUCCAUACAUCUACGGAUGGCAGCAGUAGGGAAUAUUGCACAAUGGGCGAAAGCCUGAUGCAGCGACGCCGCGUGGAGGAUGAAGGCCUUCGGGUUGUAAACUCCUUUUCGGGGGGAUGAGGAAGGACAGUACCCCCAGAAUAAGUCUCGGCUANCUACGUGCCAGCAGCCGCGGUAAACGUGGGAGGCGAGCGUUAUCCGGAUUUACUGGGCGUAAGCGCGCGCAGGCGGUU
rnacentral:rRNA from 1 species